AUUUGCUGGUGCAGUUCAUGAUGGCGAAUGGUACUCUAGUUUGGGUUCUUAUUCAUACGGAUGUUACAAAGUAUCUAAGCUUCAAAGCUGUGGACGGGGGCUAUGUCUUUAAUAAAGGAAAGGUUCACAAGGUUCCAACAACAGACAUGGAGGCCCUCAAAUCUCCAUUGAUGUGGCUUAUUUGAAAAGCGUCGUGCUCGUAAGUUCUUCAUCUAUGUCCAAAAUUAUGUAGAAAAUGAUCCCAAGACACAUGAAGGGCUGGACCUUACAAGAGUGACGACCAGAGAACUUAUUGCAUUUUACUUAUUCAGAAAUGAGAAGAUCAGUGUAUGCUCCCGAGUAUUGUCUUUCUUUUUUUAUGUCUUCUUGUCAUCGUUUUUCUCUAUAACUUAGUUCUUCAGUUUUGAGGCAUAACUUUUUCAUAUGACUACAUUGUUUGUAUGAUGAAAUUGAUUUUUAGCCAUGUGAGGUAAGCUUUUGGAUCAAAGCGAAGCUGAGAAUAGGGUGUUAGUUGAUGGCAAAUUGAUAACCAGUAGAGGCACAUCCAUGGAGUUCUCGCUUGCGAUUGUUGAGAAGUUAUUUGGCUGCGAGAAGGCAUUAG